rfam:Capsicum annuum cultivar Zunla-1 chromosome 8, whole genome shotgun sequence
AUGGUAUGGACAGUCCCAUAGAUGAUCCUUGAAAUGCUCCAAAUCAUGAUAUAAAUUUUCAUUUUUCUUUUGUUUAAAGCACAUAAUCUCAUUGUGAACUUU